rnacentral:rRNA from 1 species
CCUACGGGUGGCAGCAGUGGGGAAUUUUCCGCAAUGGGCGAAAGCCUGACGGAGCAAUACCGCGUGAGGGAAGACUGCCUAUGGGUUGUAAACCUCUUUUUUCAGGGAGACGGUACCUGAAGAAUAAGCAUCGGCUAACUCCGUGCCAGCAGCCGCGGUAAGACGGAGGAUGCAAGUGUUAUCCGGAAUCACUGGGCGUAAAGCGUCUGUAGGUGGUUUAAUAAGUCAACUGUUAAAUCUUGAGGCUCAACUUCAAAAUCGCAGUCGAAACUAUUAGACUAGAGUAUAGUAGAGGUAAAGGGAAUUUCCAGUGGAGCGGUGAAAUGCGUAGAUAUUGGAAAGAACACCGAUGGCGAAAGCACUUUACUGGGCUAUCUAACACUCAGAGACGAAAGCUAGGGUAGCAAAUGGGAUUAGAUACCCUUGUAGUC